UGGCGUGUAGCUCAAUUGGUAGUUAGCACUCGGCUGUUAACCGAGGGGUUGUGGGUUCGAGUCCCACCAUGCCAGCCA
rnacentral:tRNA from 1 species